rnacentral:pre_miRNA from 1 species
UCUCAAAUGGUAACCCUCUAAAAGGAUGCACUUUCUUUUCUUUCAGACAACAGAAAGCGCUUCCCUCUAGAGGGUCACAGCCUGAGA